CGUAACAAGGUCUCCGUAGGUGAACCUGCGGAGGGAUCAUUACACAAAUAUGAAGGCGGGCUGGAACCUCUCGGGGUUACAGCCUUGCUGAAUUAUUCACCCUUGUCUUUUGCGUACUUCUUGUUUCCUUGGUGGGUUCGCCCACCACUAGGACAAACAUAAACCUUUUGUAAUUGCAAUCAGCGUCAGUAACAAAUUAAUAAUUACAACUUUCAACAACGGAUCUCUUGGUUCUGGCAUCGAUGAAGAAUGCAGCGAAAUGCGAUAAGUAGUGUGAAUUGCAGAAUUCAGUGAAUCAUCGAAUCUUUGAACGCACAUUGCGCCCUUUGGUAUUCCAAAGGGCAUGCCUGUUCGAGCGUCAUUUGUACCCUCAAGCUUUGCUUGGUGUUGGGCGUCUUGUCUCUAGCUUUGCUGGAGACUCGCCUUAAAGUAAUUGGCAGCCGGCCUACUGGUUUCGGAGCGCAGCACAAGUCGCACUCUCUAUCAGCAAAGGUCUAGCAUCCAUUAAGCCUUUUUUUCAACUUUUGACCUCGGAUCAGGUAGGGAUACCCGCUGAACUUAAGCAUAUCA
rnacentral:rRNA from 1 species